UGAAAAACAGGAUUUUUUUUCGGUUCUAAGUCAGGCAGAGUUAUCCAGGUAUUGCAGUAUAGUAUGCUGAGCAUUUAUGGGUGGAGCCUCAAUAGUGCUUGGCGUGUGGCUUAUUUAGUGAUUCAAAUACACAACAACGCACCAUUAAACUUUGGUGCGCUGAUGACUCUUGUUGAUUCCUCAAGGUACAAAUGUGAGGCCUCCUCACUCCUGUGGCACCAGCUGGUCUGCAGAAAGAGCAGGAAAACACACAUCUUUAGUAAGACUGAGCAUUUGCAUUUAGGAAAAACUAAUAAAGGUACAUGCUGCCUUACUGUUAUUGGAAGAAAAAGGAACAUGUCAUGUAACCCCUCCUUACACAGCUAUAGAUGCUUUAAUACGAUUAUAAAGUCUUACCCUGUCUCUUGCCUGCUAAAUGAUCCUUUCAGCUGCUGCUAGGUGGCUCUAGGCGGUGUACCUGCACUCCAGGCUGACCUAGCCCAUCUGGUGCCAUUGUACUCAAGGCAGCCCAUGUCCUCAGGAAAGCUGUUUCAUUACUAUUGCCCUGUUGAGGUUCUAGGAUUUAACUAGAUACAAACGUCACUAUCGUGAUUUCAUGUUCUAGAUGUCGUUGGAUCUGAAAGAGAUUUGAAAAACAAUUAAAAACAAGUCAUUUCCCUUGUUUGUUUUUUUAAACAUUGUUUACCAGCAAGCACAAACCACUGCAAAUCAUGUAAACUAAUUUUACCCAUUUUGGUGCAAAUCAAAGACACAACAAGAAUACUGCCCUAAAGGGAAUCUUUAAGCAGGUGGUGCAGACAGUUGCUCUCUCCUUUUACCUCCUGACUGCUUUUUACCUAGUUUUCCUUGUUGUUUGUGUUCUUGUCAACUCUGAUAGCAUGAGAAUUCUUCUGGACAAGCUAGUGAUUGGAUGAUAGACAAUGUCAUCACGGGACCCCUAUCAAAUCUGGAUCAGGCAUCAGUGAGCUCCUAGAAAAUUCAAGUUGUCAUUUCACAGUUACUUUUAUUUGCACCAAAGCAAGUAAAAUUGAUUUACAAUUGUUCCUAAAUGGACAGAUUGAAAUUUAGUUGAGUAGGUAUUGUACUGUGUGCGGUUUUUUGAGCAAAGUGAAAACUAAUCUUACUCCACAAGCUGACCUUUACUCAACUGGUUGAACCAGUUCAUGUUUUAAGUCCAGAUGCAACUACACAUUUGAGUGAUUGCAUCUGGCCACUUCUUCCAGAUCAUAUGCGGGACACUUAGUCACUCGCAAUCUAGUCAUGAUACACAAUCUCCUCUGUCAGUCCUGAGGCCUCCUUCAGGUUGGAGAAGGCUAGAAACACAUCACCAUGCUCCAUUUGAUGUGAAGGACAAGCAAUUUUACCCUCAAAUGACCAAGCUCCUCACUCCAUCUCUAAGGGAGAGCCCCGCUCCUCUAUGAAGGAAGCUCACAAUCCAUCACUACAGAUGUGUGCAUCAGAGCACCAGGACCUCUGCCCGAUCCACAAAUCCCAAAAUAGUGUCCCACAGAAGAAUUGACCCAUUUAGCUUCUUCAGCUUGAGCCUGGCUGGGCCACCUGGAGUUCGCCCUUGAGCCAUCCCCUCAGGCUUGGCUUCAGAUUAGGACCCCGGUAGCCAUGUCCCAGAAAGGGUAUACUGGUAUCUUGAUUUUUCUUGGCAUUGGAGUUAUCUAAAUCACUUUUCCCUGCAUAUUCUUUUGAUUGGAUCAUGAUGCCCAACAUUUCAACAUGCUCAUACGACUACAGAUAAGUCGAAUACACAACGCAUUUAAAAUAGGUAUUUAUUUAAGUUUCCCACACGGGCAGGUUGGGGCACGCUUUCGGUUCCCCAUCCGCUGACUUCCCAGGUUGGGGCACGCUUGCAGUUCCCCAUCUGCCGACGCCCUCAGUUGGGGCAUGUGCUUGCCUUCCUCAUCUGCCAACGUGCCAAAUUGGGGCCCGCUUGCGUUUCCCCAUCCGCUGACUUCCCAGGUUGGGGCACGCAUGCAGUUCCCCAUCUGCCGACGCCCUCAGUUGGGGCAUGUGCUUGCCUUCCUCAUCUGCCGACGUCCCAGAACUUUGGUGGGUUCAGAUGUAGUGGUCACCCCACUUUGCUAGAGACUUGUCUUCACUCCUAUUGUUUCUUUUCAUUCCGAUGCACUUGGUUCUUUCAAAUUGCAUAAAGACAAAAUGUUGGGUGGGGGGGAGCUGACUUAAGGUAAAAGAUGGGGCACUCUCUGGACGGGUCACCAGUCAUCAGAAACCGACACAGAGACAACCUCACACUCAAAUACACAUCUAUGGCCAAUAUAGGACCGCUAUUUAGGCGAGCAUGCAAACCUUUGGACUGGGAAGAAGCUCGAGUACACAGAGAGAAGAUAUGUAGGGACAGACAGAACGACCAAACUGUAUCUGUCACAGGGAUCUCUAUGCUGUGAGGAUGCAGUUUUUAAAGCAGUAAUCUCAAAACCCCCUCCACUUUAUUGCAGUGGAAAGGUUUUUGUAGAAUUUGAGCUUUGGACAAGAAUGUGUUUGUGGUCUCACUUAGAAUUGCUAGACUACUGAAUUAUUUGCAGAUUGCUCUAUUUUUCUGUCAGCUUCGUUGUUAGGAAGAGAAGAAAAGGGUGAAUUCUUUUUACUGCGAUUUUUAAGCCACUUCACACACACAAGCACACAGACCAACAGAACAACAAAAGGCCCGACUAACAGUCCAAGAUGUCC
ensembl:lncRNA